UGGGGAAUAUUGCACAAUGGCGUGAACUCUGAUGCAGCGACGCCGCGUGAACGAAGAAGGCUUUCGAGUCGUAAAGUUCUUCUAUAUGGGAAGAUAAUGACGGUACCAUAAGAAAAAGCCCCGGCUAACUACGUGCCAGCAGCCGCGGUAAUACGUAGGGGGCUAGCGUUGUCCGUAAUCACUGGGCGUAAAGGGUUCGCAGGCGGAAAUGCAAGUCAGGUGUAAAAGGCAGUAGCUUAACUACUGUAAGCAUUUGAAACUGCAUAUCUUGAGAAGAGUAGAGGUAAGUGGGAUUUUUAGUGUAGCGGUGAAAUGCGUAGAUAUUAAAAAGAAUACCGGUGGCGAAGGCGACUUACUGGGCUCAUUCUGACGCUGAAGAACGAAAGCGUGGGUAGCAAACAGG
rnacentral:rRNA from 1 species